rnacentral:rRNA from 1 species
GAUGAACGCUGGCGGCGUGCCUAACACAUGCAAGUCGAACGGUAAGGCGCCAGCUUGCCGGGGCACACGAGUGGCGAACGGGUGAGUAACACGUGGGUGUCCCGUCCUGCACUUCGGGAUAUGCCUGGGAAACUGGGUCUAAUACCGGGUAGGACCAUGGUGUGGAUAUUGUGGUGGAAAGUUGUUUCGGUAUGGGAUGGGUCCGCGGGCUAUCGGCUUGUCGGUGGGGUAUUGGUCAACCAAGGCGGCGCCGGGUAGCCGGCCUGUGAGCGUGGACGGCGACAUGAGGACUAAGACACGGCGCAGACGGCUACGGGAGGCAGCGGUCGGAAGUAUUGCACAGUGGGCGGAAGCCUGAUACAACGGCGCCGCGUGGGGAAUGACGGCCUUCGGGUUAUGAACUCCUUUCACCGUCGACGAAGAGUUUCUGACGGUAGAUAGAGAAGAGGCACCGGCUAACUACGUG